UUAUAGGCUCUUUUCAGAGCCAGAUAAACUACGAAAACCUGU
rfam:Operophtera brumata OBRT01_Sc03556, whole genome shotgun sequence.